rnacentral:rRNA from 1 species
AUACGUAGGGAGCGAGCGUUGUCCGGAAUUACUGGGUGUAAAGGGAGCGUAGGCGGGAUGGCAAGUCAGAUGUGAAAACUAUGGGCUCAACCCAUAGACUGCAUUUGAAACUGUUGUUCUUGGGUGAAGUAGAGGUAAGCGGAAUUCCUGGUGUAGCGGUGAAAUGCGUAGAUAUCAGGAGGAACAUCGGUGGCGAAGGCGGCUUACUGGGCUUUUACUGACGCUGAGGCUCGAAAGCGUGGGGAGCAAACAGGAUUAGAUACCCUGGUAGUCCACGCUGUAAACGAUGAUUACUAGGUGUGGGGGGACUGACCCCUUCCGUGCCGCAGUUAACACAAUAAGUAAUCCACCUGGGGAGUACGGCCGCAAGGUUGAAACUCAAAUGAAUUGACGGGG